UUUUGGAUGUGUGGGGGCGCACAAGUGGAGCGCACUUCAGGCGCGCAGAGACGCUAAAGAGCCGCAAAUACGGAGAUCCAUUUAUAGAUCUUCCUCACACCCGUUCUCGGUUAUCCAGCGCCCACGAGGGAGUGCUAGAGGAGGCAGAGCUCGCCGUGCCCCAUCGUCUUCCAACAAAGCAUGAAUAAUCUGGGACGAUUGCUUCACAGAGGCUGGUGAAUAAAUGAUUGAACACAAGCAGAUGAUUGAGGUGCCAAGGCAUCUGGAGCACUAGACUGGAGUCCCAGCUGGCAUAG